rnacentral:rRNA from 1 species
CAGCAGCCACGGGAAUACGGAGGGUGCAAGCGUUAAUCGGAAUUACUGGGCGUAAAGCGCACGCAGGCGGUCUGACAAGUCAGAUGUGAAAUCCCCGGGCUUAACCUGGGAACUGCAUUUGAAACUGUCAGGCUGGAGUCUUGUAGAGGGGGGUGGAAUUCCAGGUGUAGCGGUGAAAUGCGUAGAGAUCUGGAGGAAUACCGGUGGCGAAGGCGGCCCCCUGGACAAGACUGACGCUCAGGUGCGAAAGCGUGGGGAGCAAACAGGAUUAGAGACCCCGGUAGUCCCUGUCUCUUAUACA